GAGGGUAUAACUCAAGUGGUAGAGUACAUGCUUAGCAUGCACAAAAUCCUGGGUUCAACCCCAAUACCUCCU
rnacentral:tRNA from 1 species